AGGAGGGUAGAAGGAACGCCUUUGAUGAAAAUGAAAUCAAUGGAAGCCAAGCCCCUCCUAUUCCUCUUCCUCUCCAAUCCAUCAAAAUCCAUUACCAUCUCUCCUUUCUCGCACCAGUUGUUAGCAUUGUUUUCUUCUUCAGUUGAUAUACCAAAGCACGCCACCAAUUCGGAAGCAGUAACAACAUUGACACAAGAAGAAGUAACCAAAAUCAACCUUCUAAUCCCACGUUUAUGUCUAUUAAACCACUUAACCACCGCAAUCCAAUUAAUCACAACGUCUCUCCUCGCUAACCCACCUCCAAAGUCCCUUUCUUUUUCCAUUCUCGCUCACUCUCUCACUACCCAACCAGACAUGACCAAACCCAUGUCACUUCUCACCAUUCUUAGGCACACGCCACAAGCACAUUCACAUCUUUCACCUAUAAACACCAUGCUUAUCACUUCAUAUAUAAAAAAGAAGAGACCCAAAGAGGCCUUGAAAGUGUACAAUUGGAUGCUUAGGCCUGGCUCUCCAUGUAAAGUUGAAAAGAUGUUAUUUUGUGUUUUGGUUAAUGGGUUGUGUGAGAUUGGUUGGGUUCUUGAGGGUUUGAAGGUCUUGAAAGACAUGGUUAGUGUGGGGUUUUUGCCUAUUGGUGGGUUAAAGGAAAGGGUCUAUAGGAGUUUGUUGAGCGAGGCUAGGGUGAAGGAGGCAGUGGAGUUAGAUAAGGCUUUAUGUGAAUGUUUUGAGGAUGUUAGUGGUGAGGGUGGUAAGAAAGUUAUUGACUUGUUGGAUUCUUUAAUUAGGAACUGGUCUGAGUAAGAAGCAGAGUAGCUUCCUAUAUCAAAAGUGUAAAAUUUCUUUUGAUACAUGUGGAUAGGUGGUCAUGCUGCAACUUUUACUCAAAGGAAGCUGGCCAAAUAUCCUAUUUUUGGAGUGCUUUUGGACAGAAAUUGGUUUAUCUGGAGCUUUCUGAGAACACUUUUGCUACUUUGGCUAUAGUUAUUUAAAAUAUGACUAUAUUCCCUUCUUCGUUUUCCAUAUCUCUAGUUUUCUUCUCUCGCCAUAGUUAGUGUAGUGUUGCAAUGCCCCACCUCCAAAGACAAGGAUAUUGGCUUGAUCAUUUUUUUACGUUGUCCAAUUUUGCCUUGCUGCAUAAAUGUUGAAGUCAGAAAUUGAGAAAGUCUUGAUGGUUGUGGUUACUUUCCUAACAUUGCAUUCUGCUCAUAGUUGGAUCAUUCUUUUCUGUUACCUCAUUUAGCGCUCACAUGCUUUGAAAAAUAUUUUGUUUCUGCCUUGAACAGCUUAUAAUGUUUUCCAUGUAAGUUCUUGACUCAUUAUAUAACUGCUAUGUCCUUACUUGACCACCAUAUUAUGUUAUAUUGUACUAUAAUUUAGCUUUAUAUUCUUUAGAUUCUGUAUAGCUCUCUCUCAUUAUUGUUUUUCUGUGUGGCAGUCUGAAGGUUUUACAUUAUAGACGACGCAAUGAGUUUCUGAGACCACUCUCUAUCUCCGUCAAAUCCUUUUUGAGCAGGCCGUGCUUUGCCAUUCAGGAAUAUCAAGGCACCGAUUCUCUCUCCGUCAGUUUCUUUCUUAAGUUUUUGGUCCUUGUGAUGUUUGUUCCAACAAUACUGUGGAGCUAUCAUAUAGGAUUGAAGGAAGCAAACAUAUUGCCAUUUUAUUUGGGAAUAGGAGAUGAUAGGAUGGCUAUUGAUGUGAUAUCAAUGUUUUAAGAUUAGGGAAAGCUCACAUGCCAUUCUGACUCGAGUACAGAGUAUCUUCUUUUUCGGGGGUCUAGGACUUAUGUAUCAUCUGGAAGACUUUAAUCUCAUCCGUGCUACUUUCCUUGUAAACUUACAGAUUCAAUUAUUCGUAUUUUACCCACUUUUGUUCCUCUUCUACAAUAGUUAUAUGUGGAGUUAGCAACAUUUUUGUGAAGGAUUUCUCCUUAAGUGCACAAAUGCUGCAAAAGAGAGAUCCUUGCCUAGCUGAUAAUUAUGUUAUGUUAUCCAGUCAAAUAUCCUCAGCAUAUCACCAUAGAAGACUUCAGGAACUGUAAUUUUUUCCUUCUCUACAUUCUUUUCGCCAGAUUUCAAGGAAGAAUAACACACGCCAAGGCGUCUGUUAGUUCUGUCUGAUCACUCUGGCAGAUGAGAAAUGGCCCAAAUGAUUUGUCAGCUCGGGGCAAGUUUGUAUCUGAUUGAAAGGCCCUGUAUUCCUGUUUUCUCACUGGCCCGAUCCAUUAGCUUGUUUAAACAACUAUUUAUUUUAAAUGUUUAUUAUUAUUUAUUACAUUUUGGAAUGAUAUGUGUGUACUGCUUACUAUCUGGUAGUAAAAGUGAUGCACAAUAUUUGCUGUC